GGCGAGUGUGGCGGGAAGAGCUCAAAUUUGAAAUCUGGUGGCCUCAGGUCAUCCGAGUUGUAAUCUAUAGAAGUGUUUUCCGUGCUGGCUCAUGUACAAGUCCCUUGGAACAGGGCGUCAUAGAGGGUGAGAAUCCCGUCCUUGACAUGAACUACCAGUGCUCUGUGAUACAUUUUCAACGAGUCGAGUUGUUUGGGAAUGCAGCUCAAAAUGGGUGGUAAAUUCCAUCUAAAGCUAAAUAUUGGCGAGAGACCGAUAGCGAACAAGUACCGUGAGGGAAAGAUGAAAAGCACUUUGGAAAGAGAGUUAAACAGUAUGUGAAAUUGUUGAAAGGGAAACGAUUGAAGUCAGUCGUGCUCUUUGGAUUCAGCCGGUUCUGCCGGUGUACUUCCUUUGAGUGGGGUCAACAUCAGUUUUGAUCGCUGGAUAAAGGCUGGAGGAACGUAGUACCCUCGGGUAAACUUAUAGCCUCCUGUCACAUACAGUGGUUGGGACUGAGGAACGCAGCACGCCUUUAUGGCCGGGAUUCGUCCACGUACGUGCUUAGGAUGUUGACAUAAUGGCUUUAAACGACCCGUCU
rnacentral:rRNA from 1 species